UACGUAGGGUGCAAGCGUUUGUCCGGAAUUAUUGGGCGUAAAGAGCUCGUAGGCGGUUUGUCACGUCUGCUGUGAAAACUGGAGGCUCAACCUCCAGCCUGCAGUGGGUACGGGCAGACUAGAGUGCGGUAGGGGAGAUUGGAAUUCCUGGUGUAGCGGUGGAAUGCGCAGAUAUCAGGAGGAACACCGAUGGCGAAGGCAGAUCUCUGGGCCGUAACUGACGCUGAGGAGCGAAAAGCAUGGGGGAGCGAACAGG
rnacentral:rRNA from 1 species